rfam:Otolemur garnettii contig052650, whole genome shotgun sequence.
GCACCUGUGGCUCAGAAGGGUAGGGCGCCAGCUCCAUAUGCUGGAGGUGGCAGGUUCGAACCCAGCCCGGGUCA